rnacentral:rRNA from 1 species
UAAAUACUACCUGAUGACCGAUAGUGAAGCAGUACCGUGAGGGAAAGGUGAAAAGAACCCCGGGAGGGGAGUGAAAUAGAACCUGAAACCGUGUGCCUACAACCGCUCAGAGCCCCUUAUGAGGGUGAUGAGGUGCUUUUUGUAGAACGAGCCAACGAGUUACGGUAUGUAGCAAGGUUAAGUACUUAAGGUACGGAGCCGAAGGGAAACCGAGUCUGAAUAGGGCGACUAGUUGCAUGCCGUAGACCCGAAACCGGGUGACCUAUCCAUGGCCAGGUUGAAGCGAGGGUAAAACCUCGUGGAGGACCGAACCACGUUGCUGUUGAAAAAGCAUGGGAUGAGCUGUGGAUAGCGGAGAAAUUCCAAUCGAACCCGGAGAUAGCUGGUUCUCUCCGAAAUAGCUUUAGGGCUAGCGUCGAGUAUGAGUAGUGGAGGUAGAGCACUGAAUGGGCUAGGGGGCAUAGCGCUUACCGAACCUUAUCAAACUCCGAAUGCCACAUACUUUGAGCUCGGCAGUCAGACUACGAAUGAUAAGAUCCGUGGUCAAAAGGGAAACAGCCCAGAUCGUCAGCUAAGGUCCCAAAGUGUAAGUUAAGUGGGAAAGGAUGUGAGAUUUCUAAGACAACUAGGAUGUUGGCUUAGAAGCAGCCAUUCAUUAAAAGAGUGCGUAAUAGCUCACUAGUCGAGAGAUCUUGCGCCGAAAAUGUAACGGGGCUAAACUUACCACCGAAGCUACGGGCUUGAACUUAGUUCAAGCGGUAGGAGAGCGUCGUAACCGGGCUGAAGUCGUACCGUAAGGAGCGGUGGACUGGUUACGAGUGAGAAUGUUGGCAUCAGUAGCGAGAUGUGGGUGAGAAUCCCACAGGCCGAAAACCUAAGGUUUCCUCAGGAAGGUUCGUCCGCUGAGGGUUAGUCGGGACCUAAGCCGAGGCCGAAAGGCGUAGGUGAUGGACAACUGGUUGAUAUUCCAGUACCACUACCAUCGUUAUUAUCGAUGGCGUGACGCAGGAGGAUAGUGUGUGCUAGC